GAUGAACGCUAGCUACAGGCUUAACACAUGCAAGUCGAGGGGCAGCAUGGAAGAAGCUUGCUUCUUCUGAUGGCGACCGGCGCACGGGUGCGUAACGCGUAUCAAACCUGCCUCAUACUCGGGGAUAGCCUUGCGAAAGUAAGAUUAAUACCCGAUGUUGUUAUGUUGCCGCAUGGUGAUAUAACCAAAGAUUUAUCGGUAUGAGAUGGUGAUGCGUCCGAUUAGGUAGUAGGCGGGGUAACGGCCCACCUAGCCUUCGAUCGGUAGGGGUUCUGAGAGGAAGGUCCCCCACACUGGAACUGAGACACGGUCCAG
rnacentral:rRNA from 1 species